UAUAUAGUAGUAUGUAUGAUAUUUACAAUUUAUUUUUUAUUACUAUUUUAGUAAUGUAUAUAAAGAGACUAUUAAGGAGGGCUAGCUAUAUAUUAAAGAGAUUAAUUUGUGUUUUAUUAAAUUCUUUUACACAUGCACUCUUAGAGAAAUUCAAUAAUAAACGAAGUGAAUUGAAAUAUCUUAGUAACUUUAGGAAAAUAAAUCAAACGAGAUUCUAUGAUUAGUGUGAAUGAAAAUAGAAAAGCCUAUUUUAAAGAUAUAUUGUAUUAUAUAUCUUUAUAUUAAAAAAGUAAAACGGGCAUAACCUCCAGUUUGAAUACGUCAAAUAAUUGUCUAAUAAAAUUAUUUGACAAAGGGGAACCUUCCUCUAAGGCUAAAUAUAAUAUAUAAGCGAUAGCGUAUAGUACUGUGAAGGAAAGGUUUGAAUUAGUAGUCUUAUAAGCAGCUAAUGCUUUAUUUAAUUAAAAAGUGAUAGCGUACCUUUUGCAUAAUGGGUCAGUAAGUUAAUAUUAGAUGCGAGCAUCAGUGCCCAGAUAAACCAAUUAUGAAUUAAUGAAUUAGUAUCUAAAAUUAGACCCGAAGGCUAGUGAUCUUACCAUAGUCAGGAUUAUAAAAGUCCGAACGGGUUAUCGUUGUAUAGAUAUCCGAAGAACUGUGGUAAGUAAGUGAAAGACAACACUGACUAGUAUAGCUGGUUUUCUGCGAAACCUAUAAAAGUAGGUAAUUUAAGUAACAUCAUAGCAGGUACAGAACUGUGUUCUCAGGCAACUUUUAAGAUAGAAAUUUCUAUUUUAUAUUUUGCAUAUAUCGGGCAAUCGUGAAGAUUUUAUCGGUGAGUAAUCGCACUCGGAAUGGUUAUGAUCUUUAUUAAAUAAUCGGACAUAGUACGCUAAGGUUGUAUGUCUAAAGGGAAACAGCCCAGAACAAGAGUUUAAGGUUCCAAAAUUAUUGUUAAGUGAAAUUAAGGAUGUUUAGUUAAAAUACGGCCAGGAAAUUGGCUUAGAAGCGGUCCAUUUUUUGAAGAUCUCGUAACAGAGCACUGGUUUAGUAUAUUAUUUACAUUAAUUUGAGCACCGAAGAUUUAACGGAUCUAAACAAUAUACCGACACCUUGUCCAUAAAAAUAUAAUAUUUAAUGGGGUAGCAGAACGUUGGGUAAACAUUUAUUGUUUUUAAUAAUAAAUAUAUGAUAACCCAAGUGAUAAUGCUGACAUGAGUAACGAAAAAGGGGAUAUACCCUCGCCUAAAGCUUAUGGUAUUUUAAAAUAAGUAACGGCCUCUAAGUUUACCAACCUAAAGGAUUAAACGAUGAGAAAAUCUUUUAGUUCAUUAGUAACAACCUUCCUUCUUAUAAGAAAAGUUGAGGGAGGUUCUGGAAAAACCGUGACCUAUCUUUAAGAUAAAAACCGUACCUAAAUACCACCGACGGUAAGCUAGUAGAGAAUACGAAGGCGUUUGAGUGAACAAUCCUUAAGGAACUCGGCAAACUAACUACCGUAACUUCGGAAUAAGGAGUGCCAUUCCUCUUCAUUAAUAUGAGGUAAAGAAUAGGAAGCAUGGAAUAGUGUUGUACGACUGUUUAAUUAAAACAAAGCACUCCGCAAUAAGAUAAUAAAUCAAAGUAUUGAGUGUGAUUUCUGCCCGAUGUCGGCCGGUUAACGGAUUUUCUAAGUUGACUAAUAUAAGCUUGGUUUUGAUGGAAACCCCGAUCAAUGGCGGCCUUACCUAUGAGGGUCCUAAGGUAGCGGAAUACCUUGGCCGUUAAAUGCGGUCUUGCAUGAAUGAUUUAACGAUACAACAGCUGUCUCAAGGAUUGGCUCAGUGAAAUUGGAAUAACUGUGCAGAUACAGUUUACCUCUAGAUAGACGAGAAGACCCUAUGCAGCUUUACUGUUACUAGUUAUUAGAUAUGAUAAACAGCAUUUUUAGUGCAUAAGGUAGGUCUUAAUUGACCGAAAUUGAAACACCUUUAUUUAGUUUUUCAUAUUGGUAAAUAUAAUUUACGUGAUAAAUAUACUAUCAUUUCCAAACCAAGAGAGGAACGAUGACUAGGAGGCAGUUUAUGCGGGGCACAGAUCCCAUAAAAAGUACCUGGGUGUAUCCAAAGUUAAUUUUGUAAUUUGGUUAUAAUUUCGUUAUAACAAAUCUAUAAGGGUCUAGCUGCCUAGGCUAAAUAUGAGCCAGGCUAGCGUCGUGCUAAGGGCUUACCCUCUUUAGGUUUUUUUAGUUUGUUAUUAGAGAUAGCUCUUCUUAGAACUAUUACCAAUCCACCUAUAUAUCUAUUGAGUUAGAACUAAAUUUUUUAAUCAAGUAAGAUUUUAUCUAUAUUGAAAAUAGAUGUAAACUAUGUUAUAUUUUCUUCUGGCCAGCUUAGUACCAGAGGCUCUCACUGGUCUUCUAGCCGUGGUCUUUAGAGCUAGCCUGGUUCUAAGCUAGCUUAGAACCAGGCAGAUCCUUUUCUUACAGAACGAACACAGGCCAGUAGGGGGGGGGGACUAGGCCUUGUAGCAAAGGCAGAUGGUUCUCAGCCGGCAAACAAGAGGCGGUCAAGGGAGCAGUACAUAGCGCAAGGCACCAAUUGAACUGGAGAAGAGUGCGCAGCGCAAGCCUCUUGUCAAAGGUCUAGAACUGAGUGGUUCAGAGCUCUUGCGCGCACUAGCGCUCUCUAGGUAUGCAUCGAGUGGAGCAAAGAGGCUAGCCUUCUAGAGCUGGCUCUAGCUACGCUAGAGCAUAGCACCACUCUAGGUUUGCAUCUGCCCUUGUGAGCUCUAGUGCAGAUUUCUCAAGUGCUUUGCAGUUCAGAGCUUGGUUAGGAUUAACUGCAGCCUAGAGCGGUCAAGCUGUGCUCAAGCUGCACUAGGCGAGGAACGCUCUUCUAACGAGGUAAGCAGCAAGGCAAGGAGCCUUUGAAGAGGUGUAGCGGUGAACUAGCGAUGCGCAAGUUCACCUCUCUUACACCGGUAGCCGAUCAUUUAUAUAGGGGGGGGUGAGAGCGCUUGGAGUGGUAAGAGCUGGAUAUUUUUAUAAUAAUUACUUGUCAAGUUUAAUGGCUUAAUCUUGCUUUACUGUUUGAAAGACACGUCUAUCAGUCGCGUAAGCGGGGCAUAUGAUCACAAGAUGCCGAAAGGAAAGGUCUUGGGUUUUUGAAAAAGCUACGCUAGGGAUAACAGGCUAAUUGCGCCAGGAAGUACAAAUUGAGUGCGCAGUUUGGCACCUCGAUGUCGGCUUAACUUAUCCACAUGAACGCAGGAAUCAUGAAGGGUUCGACUGUUCGUCGAUUAAUAAGUUACACGAGCUGGGUUAAAUACGUCGUAAGACAGUAUGGUUUCUAUCUUCUAGAGGAAAUUAGAAUAAAAUAAAGAUAUAUCCCUCGUACGAAAGGAGCUGGGUAUAUUAACCUAUGGUUUACCUGUUGUUUAUGUGCCCAAUAUUAAAGUAAAAUUUCUUAAGUUUUGUUUACUUGCGAGUGCCUUAGCUCUUUUUUUUUACUUUUAGUGCCUUAGCGUAUAAGGCGCAGAAGGGCAAGGCUUUCUCGGGCAAGAGCAGUUCAACGACGCUUGUGGUAGAGCUCGCACUUUUGCACCAGUGGUUCGUUCUUGCCUAUAGGCAGAGCAAGCCUACAACGUAGGCUCUUACCAGAAAAGUGGGGGUCUAGCAGUGCUAGUUCUUCUAGCCGUAGCCUAUAUAAAUAAAAAUACUGGCCAAGCUCUAGUUCAAAUAACUUAUGCUCAAGCUCUAGCCAGGCAAGAGCAAGAGUGGAGGGUCUUGCUUGGGCUCAAGGGCUCCGCCCACAGCCAUGAGCACUAGCGGCAGUUCAUAACUGCCAAGCUCUAGUUCAAAAAAGUGGGACAGGACUAGGUGGCCUUAUGCCAUAGUGGCUAGCUGCUCUCUUCAUCGAGAGGGCGUACAGUUCAACGGCUCCAUGCAAAGAGCAUGAGCACAGCCAUGAACUAGAGUAGGCCUUGCUAGAGCAGUGUAGCGAAGCUAGGCAAGCACGCACUUUCUUAGGGCUGCCUUGGCACUUGCCAAGGGGUGAACUGCAAAGCUUGAACUGGGCUAGGCUUUGCAAAAAGAGGCGCGAUAUAAGGGACAAGCAAAAAAAGAAAACAGCCAUUAGGGUUUACAAAGGAGUCCUACCAGCAAAGGGGGGGUAAAAGGAGGGCAUGGAUGUUACUAACACUUUAGUAGAUAUAUAACAUAGGCACGGCAGGAACGCUAUGUUAGUUAAAAUAAGUGCUGAAAGCAUAUAGGCACGAAGUUUACUUUAAUAUAUUCUUAAAUAUACGUCUGAUAAUAAGACGAAUUAAUUUUUUUAGAAUAAAAAAGAGCUCUAGCUGCAAGGCAGGCACAUAGCUAGCACUGGGAGCCGUCGCAAGCAAGUCGGCG
rnacentral:rRNA from 1 species